rnacentral:tRNA from 1 species
GCUUGUCUAGCUCUUUUGGUAAAGCGCAAGGCUCUUAAUCUUGUGGUCGUGGGUUUGAGCCCCACGGUGGGUG